rnacentral:misc_RNA from 1 species
AAGUCGUAACAAGGUUUCCGUAGGUGAACCUGCGGAAGGAUCAUUAUUGAAUGAACUUGGCUUGGUUGCUGCUGGUCUUUUCGAAGACAUGUGCACGCCAUGUCAUCUUUAUAUCUCCACCUGUGCACCUUUUGUAGACCUGGAUUCAAUUUUUCCGAGGUAACUCGGUCGUGAGGAACUGCUUAACGGCUUUCCUUGUUAGUUUUCCAGGCCUAUGUUUUCAUAUACACCAUACGAAUGUAACAGAAUGUCAUUAUUAGGCUUAAUUGUCUUAUAAACUAUAUACAA